CCAGCUGAACUGAGGUUUGCAUGUUUUAUGAUCAUCAGCUGCUCAAGCUCUUUUCCAGUGAGAGAGUGGCAAACCAAAUCUUUGACAGCAUUUGGAUGAUAGAAGAGAGUGACAGCAGCAGACGUGCUAAAAUGAAAACUAAAACUGCAGUGGUUUGCGCCUGUGCCAUCCUCAUGGUUUUUCUUAUAGUUGAAUCUUGGUGUGCUCCAAAGGUAAAAUUUGGGUUAAAAAUGUCUCUGCAGGACUUUAUGAGAGGAUUCAUUUCUAGCCGAAUAAUUUCUACUUUGUUUUUGCAACUUGCAGAACAAACUCAUAGCAAGAAAUUGGGGCCCACAAUCAAUGCUAUACCUCAAAGGACAAUAUGGUAGAAGAUAUGCUUCUGAUAGUGAAGAGCAAUAUUACAAGCUUGA
rnacentral:lncRNA from 1 species